UACAACAGUGUGCUGUCCACCCACUCCCUGCUGGAGCACACCGAUGUCUCCAUCCUGCUCGACAACGAGGCCAUCUACGACAUCUGCAGGCGCUCCCUGGACAUCGAGAGGCCCACCUACACCAACCUGAACCGCCUCGUCUCUCAGGUACUGACAACACCCGACAUGCCCUGCAUCUGGAUUGAACUGUUUUGCAACCUGUGAUGUGAAGCUGAGACUUUGGAACUUGUGCUGUUUGUCUUUGUGUAGGUGAUCUCAUCGCUGACCACCUCCCUGAGGUUCGACGGUGCCCUGAACGUGGACGUGACCGAGUUCCAGACCAACCUGGUCCCGUACCCUCGGAUCCACUUCAUGCUCUCGUCCUACGCGCCGGUCAUCUCGGCGGAGAAGGCGUACCACGAGCAGCUGUCGGUGUCGGAGAUCACCAACAGCGCGUUCGAGCCGUCGUCCAUGAUGGCCAAGUGCGACCCGCGCCACGGCAAGUACAUGGCGUGCUGCCUCAUGUACCGGGGCGACGUGGUGCCCAAGGACGUGAACGCGGCGGUGGCCACCAUCAAGACCAAGCGCACCAUCCAGUUCGUGGACUGGUGCCCCACGGGGUUCAAGUGCGGCAUCAACUACCAGCCGCCCACCGUGGUGCCCGGCGGCGACCUGGCCAAGGUGCAGAGGGCCGUCUGCAUGAUCUCCAACUCCACCAGCGUCGUCGAGGUCUUCUCCCGCAUCGACCACAAGUUCGACCUCAUGUACGCCAAGCGCGCCUUCGUGCACUGGUACGUGGGCGAGGGCAUGGAGGAGGGCGAGUUCUCCGAGGCCCGUGAGGACUUGGCCGCCCUGGAGAAGGACUACGAGGAGGUCGGCGCAGAGGGCGGCGACGACGAUGAUGGCGAGGAGGACAACGACUACUGAUCUGCUCGUCCGCUCGACGGAGGAUCCGUCUCCUCUGCCGCCUAUCUUUAACUACAUGUUGCUGUGCUGUCCUGUUUUGGAGACUUGUGUCUGGGUGUUGGGUUGUUAAGCCAUCGGUGCUUUCUAUGUCGCUGUUGAACUGCAUCAUUAGUACUUCGUGGAACAAGUGUCUCGCUUAAUUGAUGUUCUGUCCUGCUUCAUUCCAGUGUUUCUAGCCAACCUGUCUUGCUCCGUUCCUGUGGUCAUUUUUAGGAACAUUGGCGACCUGUCUCGAUCUAUAUGCGCAACUUAUCUGAUUGCGGAGCAAUCACUUGCCGGAUUGAGCCAAUCUUUAAAGCCCGAAAGCCGACCUGUCUCGAGCAACUGAAUUUGCUUCGCCAGAAAGCCGGCCUGCUGAAGCCAGUCCAUAUGAAGUUUUUGUCCAUUUUCGAUACUUACUGGCCGGCUACGAGGCUUCAUCCAGCGGUUCUGCUUCAUUUUGUCCCAUGCGCAUGGUGAGAUCAAUAGGUGUGCACAAAACGGCUGAGUAGGAUCAAUAGGAUCGUGCACCAAACCGGCGCUGUUCCCUAAAGCUUGGACUUGAUGAGUAGGGAUGGGUUUGUUCACAGUUCGCAGGACGUGCGGAACCAAUUCGGAGGAGAUGAAGAGGAGUAUGCAGAUUACCAUGGGCCUGAACCUGAUUUGGAGGAUCAAUUUGCAGGGAUGAAGCUCCAUGGAAGGGAGGAGGAAGAGCUAGAUUUCUCAGCGGAAGUUGAUGAUCUGAUUAAGGAUGUACGUUGGCUUGCCCUGUUUCGUGUCCAUACUACGAAACCCUUUAGCCACGCUGCGCUCUUGUCACAGAUGCGUAAUGCAUGGUCGGCGGCUCAAGGGGUGACGUUCAACAUCAAGGGACCCAAUUUGUUUCUGGUGCAAUGCCAUUGUCUAGGUGAUUGGAGGAGGAUUGUGGAUGGAGGGCCAUGGCUGUUUAGGAGGGCACCGGUGGUGAUCCAGGAGUAUGAUGGUUUUUCAAAUGUCAAAGGUUAUAGACUCAAUAAAAUUCCGGUAUGGGCAAGGGUGAAGGGGCUGCCGGAUGGUCUCACGAGAAGGAAAGAGUUAGCGGAGAAAGUUGCAGCUAAAGUAGGUGACCCACCUUUCACCGUGAUAAUGAAUGAGGGGAGAAUCAACCCAGCUAGUACCCUCCGGGUGAGGGUUUAUGUGGAUGUCAAUAGUCCGCUUGUCCGUUUUGUUCCAAUAACCUUGAAGGAGUAUAAAAGAUACAGUGUUUAUUAUGAGAAGCUACCGGACUUUUGCUUUGCGUGUGGUAAGAUGGGUCAUGUUGCAGACGAGUGUGGUGAUGGGAUUCAUGACCCAAACUCCUUUGAGUGGGGUGAGUGGCUGUUGUGGGAGCCUGAAGUGCCUACAGCCCAAGGUGUAGGAGGCCGAGGUAGAGGAGAUGGAGGUAGUAGGGGAAGAGGUUGGGAUGCAGGCAGGGGAGACCGAAGAGGUAGAGUAGGGAGAGGCCCGAUGGGCGGAAGGGGGAGAGGGGAUCCCGGAGCAGGGGUGCAGCAAGCUGGAACGCAUCAUAUGGAUGUGGAGGGCUAGGGAGACGGUGUAGGAGGUUUAGGGGAAAGGGGAGCGAGGAAGAGGCUGGUUGAGGCGGAUGGAAGCCUAAACGUCCGGGGGCAACAGCUCAAUCAUUUGGCUGGACGGGUAGCUGGUACUGUCAUGAUGAUCGAAGGGGGAUCUCAAGCGGCAAGCACAAGUGCUGUGAUCUCCACCCCGGAGAAGGACCCAAUUGUGAAGAGAAGGCGUCAGGAUGGAGAAGAAGGUGUUUUAGUGGAUCAAACAAGAGAGGCGGCCUCCCUCGAGGAGGGCCGCCGGGCCUGAUGAAGACAUUGUGCUGGAACUGUCGCGGAAUUGGCGACCCCGCGACAGUUAGGGAGCUCCGCGUCUCGUGGAGGCGUGUGCGCCGUCGAUCCUUUGCAUUGUUGAAACUCAACUUGCGAAGGCCCGAGUGGAGGGAUUGGCUGUUUCUUUUGGUUUUUCAGGAUGUUUUGCAGUUCCAAGUAACGGUCGUAGUGGUGGUUUAUGUAUUUUUUGGAAAGAUCAUGUUAAUCUGGCAAUAAAGAACUUUUCGCAGUACCACAUAGACUCAUGGAUUUCACAACCAGGUGCUGAUGAUUGGAGUUUAUCAUGCUUUUAUGGUGAAGCCAACAGAAGUUUGAGGCAUAACACAUGGGAGACGAUGAAGAGAUUACGAGGGGAAAGUACACUUCCUUGGGUGUGCAUUGGAGACUUUAACGAGGUGCUGCGCCCGGAGGAGCACAUGGGUACUAGCAUUCGAGACAGUGGUCAGAUCGUAGGCUUCAGAGAGGCUGUGGAUGUGUGUGAGCUUGCUGAUUUAGGCUACAAAGGCCUUGAUUGGACGUGGGAAAAGAGAGUCAGGGGAGGCGAGUUCUGUAGGGUGCGACUGGAUCGUGCGCUGGCUAGUCCUAGUUGGUCGGCGCUGUUCCCUUUUGCAUCUCUUGAGCACCUAACAGCAGCCAAGUCAGAUCACUGUCUCAUUCUGCUUAAUACAGAGCUGGAGACAACAAGUAUGAGGCACGCUCUAAAAAAACCCUUUCGAUAUGAGUGUAUGUGGGAAACAAAGGAAGAUUUUCAUCAAGUAGUGGAGGAAGUCUGGAACCGUAAUCAACCUUCUCUUUCAGUUUCGGACCUAGCUGCCAAGCUCAGUUCAGUUUCUGUAGCGCUAGCUCAGUGGGGACGCAUGUCGUUUGGAUCAGUCCGGCAGGAGCUUCGUUCGUUGCGACAUCAGCUAGCUACCCUACGGGCAGUCCCGGGCCGGGUAGGCCCAAGUGAGGAGGAGAAGCGAGUCCAAGAUCGUAUGAUCGAAGUUUCUCUGGCGGAGGAGAUCAUGAUGAGGCAGAGAUCACGAAUAAAAUGGCUCGCUGAAGGGGAUAAGAAUACUGGAUUUUUUCAGAAAAAAGCAAGUGCCCACAGGGCAAAAAAACAAGAUAACUCAGCUACAAAGAAACGAUGGUACAAUCAGCACUGAUUCGGAGGAGCUGGCACGCAUGGCUACUGAGUUUUACUCUAAUCUCUAUACUUCGGAAGGUACAAUUGGUAUGGAGGAAGUGCUCUCCCAUAUACCAUCAAGGGUAGAUGCUGAGAUGAAUACACGCCUGAAUAAGCCGUAUAGCAAAGAGGAGGUCAAAGAAGCGCUAUUCCAAAUGUUUCCUACAAAAGCUCCGGGACCUGAUGGAUUCCCGGCGCACUUCUUUCAAAGGCAUUGGGAUUUAUGUGGGGAAGAGAUUACGGGUAUGAUCAUAAGAGUGCUCGAUGGAGUUGACUCACCGUAGGAUAUCAAUCGUACGUUCAUUGUUAUGAUUCCGAAAGUUGCUAGUCCAAAGAUCUUAGGACAAUUUCGGCCAAUAAGCCUUUGUAAUGUAAUCUACAAGAUUGCAUCAAAGGUCUUAGCCAAUAGGCUGAAAAUGAUUCUUCCAGAGGUGAUUUCAGAAGAGCAGUCAGCGUUCGUUCCUAGACGUCUCAUCACGGAUAAUUUUAUAACUGCCUAUGAGAGUUUACACUAUAUGAAAACGAGAAGAGUAAAGAGUAACCGGUAUUGUGCGCUAAAACUGGAUAUGAUGAAAGCAUAUGAUCGACUGGAAUGGCCAUACUUGAAGGCGGUCAUGACGAAGUUGGGUAUUAGCCCGAGGUUCAUUGAUACUAUUAUGAGGUGCGUGUCGUCGGUGUCUUUUUCGGUGCUUUUUAAUGGAGGUGUGUUGGAUGAUUUCAGGCCUUCUUGUGGAGUUAGGCAAGGGGAUCCAAUAUCCCCCUAUUUGUUCGUCAUUGCAGCAGAGGGUCUAUCUUGUUUGCUGAAAAAUGGCAUCCGCGGUAUCAAGGUGGCACCGACGGCCCCGGAGGUCAAUCAUCUUCUGUUCGCAGAUGACAGUUUACUGUUUUUUGAGGCAUCAAAUGACGAAGCAAGGAGAGUCCGCGACUUGCUGCAGGUUUAUUGCAACGCCUGCGGCCAAAGAAUCAAUGCUGACAAGAGCUCUAUUUAUUUCAGUAAGGCAGUUCCGGACAGCUUGAGAGGUGAGAUCAAGGAGACCCUAGCAGUUCAUACUGAAUCUCUUUCGGAGAAAUACUUGGGUCUUCCAACGGAUGUUGGCAAAUCCAAGGAGGGAUGCUUUCGAUAUUUGAAGGAUAGGAUUUCGAAACAUGUGCAAGGGUGGAUGGAGAAGUGCCUCUCUGCAGGAGGAAAGGAGGUCUUAAUUAAAUCAGUUGCCCAAUCAAUACCAACAUAUUCGAUGUCAUGUUUCAAGCUGCCUCGCGUGGUCUUUGCAACCAUAUCAAUGGGCUUCUGAGGAAUUUUUGGUGGGGGAGUAAGAGGGGUGAAAGGAAGACAGCCUGGGUCUCCUGGAAUACUAUGACAAAACCAAAAUAUAUGGGUGGAAUGGGUUUCCGCGAUAUUGAGGUUUUUAUCUUAGCUUUAUUAGCUAGACAAGCUUGGAGGAUAUUACAAGAUCCGAGUUCAUUGAGUGCUCGUGUCUUGAAAUCAAGGUACUUCCCGGAGGGAGAGUUCUUGGAUGCGCCACUUGGACCAAAUGUUGGAAAUAUGCCCUAGAGGCAAUAAUAAAAUGGUUAUUAUUGUGUUUCCUUGUUCAUGAUAAUUGUCUAUUGUUCAUGCUAUAAUUGUAUUAACUGGAAACCGUAAUACAUGUGUGAAUACAUAGACCACAACAUGUCCCUAGUAAGCCUCUAGUUGACUAGCUCGUUGAUCAAUAGAUGGUUAUGGUUUCCUGACCAUGGACAUUGGAUGUCAUUGAUAACGGGAUCACAUCAUUAGGAGAAUGAUGUGAUGGACAAGACCCAAUCCUAAGCAUAGCACAAGAUCGUGUAGUUCGUUUGCUAAGAGCUUUUCUAAUGUCAAGUAUCAUUUCCUUAGACCAUGAGAUUGUGCAACUCCCGGAUACCGUAGGAAUGCUUUGGGUGUACCAAACGUCACAACGUAACUGGGUGGCUAUAAAGGUGCACUACAGGUAUCUCCGAAAGUGUCUGUUGGGUUGGCACGAAUCGAGACUGGGAUUUGUCACUCCGUAUGACGGAGAGGUAUCUCUGGGCCCACUCGGUAAUGCAUCAUCAUAAUGAGCUCAAUGUGACUAAUCAGUUAGCCACGGGAUCAUGUGUUACGGAACGAGUAAAGAGACUUGCCGGUAACGAGAUUGAACGAGGUAUUGGGAUACCGACGAUCGAAUCUCGGGCAAGUAACAUACCGAUAGACAAAGGGAAUUGUAUACGGGAUUGAUUGAAUCCCCGACAUCGUGGUUCAUCCGAUGAGAUCAUCGUGGAACAUGUGGGAGCCAAUAUGGGUAUCCAGAUCCCGCUAUUGGUUAUUGGCCGGAGAGGUGUCUCGGUCAUGUCUGCAUGGUUCCCGAACCCGUAGGGUCUACACACUUAAGGUUCGGUGAUGCUAGAGUUGUUAUGGGAAAUAGUAUGUGGUUACCGAAGGUUGUUCGGAGUCCCAAAUGAGAUCCCGGACGUGACGAGGAACUCCGGAGUGGUCCAGAGGUGAAGAUCGAUAUAUUGGACGAAGGGUAUUGGACUCCGGAAUUGUUCUGCGAGUACCGGGUGACGACCAGCGUGACCGAAAGGUGUUUCGGAGGCCCCGGCAAGCGUUGGGGGGCCUUAUGGGCCAAGGGGAGGGGGCACACCAGCCCACUAAGGGGCUGUGCGCCCCUCCCAACCCCUCUCACGUAACGUGGAGAGGUGGGGGCGCCUCCCCUAGGGCAGCCACCCCUCCCGGCUUGGGGGGCAAGUUUCCCAGGGGUGGGGGCGCCCAAACCCAUCUAGGGUUUCCCCUGUGGCCGCCGCCCCUCCCCUAGGGAACCCUAGGCCGCCUCCUCCACCCCCUUCCCCCUAUAUAUAGUGAGGGAGAGAGAGGGCAGUCGCACCCCUUUGCCUGGGGCAGCCCUCUCCUCCUCCAACUCCUCCUCCUCCGUAGUGCUUAGCGAAGCUCUGCCGGAGAACCACGAGCUCCAUUGCCACCAUGCCGUCGUGCUGCUGGAGUUCUCACUCAACUUCUCCUCUCCCCUUGUUGGAUCAAGAAGGAGGAGACGUCCCUGGGCUGUACGUGUGUUGAACGCGGAGGCGCCGUCCGUUCGGCGCUAGCUCGGAUUUUCCGUGAUUUGAAUCGCCGCGAGUACGACUCCAUCAACCGCGUUCUUGUAACGCUUCCGCUUAGUGAUCUUCAAGGGUAUGAAGAUGCACUCCCUCUCUCUCGUUGCUAGCAUCUCCUAGAUUGAUCUUGGUGACACGUAGGAAAAUUUUGAAUUAUUACUACGUUCCCCAACAGUGGUAUUAGAGCUAGGUCUAUGCGUAGAUUCUAUGCACGAGUAGAACACAAAGUAGUUGUGGGCGAUGAUUUGUUCAAUUUGCUUGCCGUUACUUGUCUUAUCUUGAUUCGGCGGCAUUGUGGGAUGAAGCGGCCUGGACCGACCUUACACGUACUCUUACGUGAGACAGGUUCCACCGACUGACAUGCACUUGAUGCAUAAGGUGGCUAGCGGGUGUCUGUCUCUCCCACUUUAGUCGGAUGGGAUUCGAUGAAGAGGGUCCUUAUGAAGGGUAAAUAGCAAUUGGCAUAUCACCAUUGUGGCUUUUGCGUAGGUAAGAAACGUUCUUGCUAGAAACCCAUAGCAGCCACGUAAAACAUGCAACAACAAUUAGAGGACGUCUAACUUGUUUUUGCAGGGUAUGCUAUGUGAUAUGGCCAAAAGGAUGUGAUGAAUUAUAUAUAUGUGAUGUAUGAGAUUGAUCAUGUUCUUGUAAUAGGAAUCAUGACUUGCAUGUCAAUGAGUAUGACAACCGGCAGGAGCCAUAGGAGUUGUCUUAAUUUAUUGUAUGACCUGCGUGUCAAUGAAAAAACGCCAUGUAAUUACUUUACUUUAUUGCUAACCGUUAGCCAUAGUAGAAGUAAUAGUUGGCGAGACAACUUCAUGAAGACACGAUGAUGGAGAUCAUGGUGUCAUGCUGGUGAUGAAGGUGAUCAUGCCGCGCCUCGAAGAUGGAGAUCAAAAGGCGCAAGAUGAUAUUGGCCAUAUCAUGUCACUUUAUGAUUUGCAUGUGAUGUUUGUCAUGUUUACAUCUUAUUUGCUUAGAACGACGGUAGCAUAAAUAAGAUGAUCCCUCACUAAAAUUUCAAGAGAUGUGUUCCCCCUAACUGUGCAUCGUUGCGAAGGUUCGUUGUUUCGAAGCACCACGUGAUGAUCGGGUGUGAUAGAUUCUAACGUUCGCAUACAACAGGUGUAAGCCAGAUUUACACAUGCGAAACACUUAGGUUGACUUGAUGAGCCUAGCAUGUACAGACAUGGCCUCGGAACACAAGAGACCUAAAGGUCGAACAUGAGUCGUAUAGUAGAUACGAUCAACAUGGAGAUGUUCACCGUUGAUGACUAGUCCGUCUCACGUGAUGAUCGGACAUGGUCUAGUCGAUUCGGAUCAUGUAUCACUUAGAUGACUAGAGGGAUGUCUAUCUAAGUGGGAGUUCAUUAAAUAAUCAGAUGAACUUAAUUGUCAUGAACAUAGUCAAAAGGUCUUUGCAAAUUAUGUCAUAGCUUACACUUUAGUUCUACUGUUUAAGAUAUGUUCCUAGAGAAAAUUUAGUUGAAAGUUGAAAGUAGCAAUUAUGCGGACUGGGUUCGUAAACUGAGGAUUGUCCUCAUUGCUGCACAGAAGGCUUAUGUCCUUAAUGCACCGCUCGGUGUGCUGAACCUCGAGCGUCGUGUGUAGAUGUUGCGAACAUCUGACAUACACGUUUUGAUGACUACGUGAUAGUUCAGUGCGUAAUGUUAACGGUUUAGAAUUGAGGCGCCAAAGACGUUUUUGAAACGUCGCAAAACAUAUGAGAUGUUCCAAAGACUGAAAUUGGGAUUUCAGACUGGUGCCCACGUCAAGAGGUAUGAGACCUCUGACAAGUUUGUUAAGCCUGCAAACUAAGGGAGAAAAGCUCAAUCGUUGAGCAUGUGCUCAGAUUGUCUGAGUACUACAAUCGCUUGAAUCGAGUGGGAGUUAAUCUUCCAGAUGAGAUAGUGAUGGUUCUCCAUAGUCACUGCCACCAAGCUAUUAGAGCUUCGUGAUGAACUAUAACAUAUCAAGGAUAGACAUGAUGAUCCUCGCGAUGUUUGACACCGCGAAAGUAGAAAUCAAGUAGGAGCAUCAAUUGUCGAUGGUUAGUAAAACCACUAGUUUCGAAAAGGGCAAGGGAAAGAAGGGAUACUUCAUGAAUCGGCAAAUCAGUUGCUGCUCUAGUGAAGAAACCCAAGGUUGAACCCAAACCCGAGACUAAGUGCUUCAGUAAUGAGGGGAAUAGUCACUGAAGCAGAACUACCCUAGAUACUUGGUAGAUGAGAAGGCAGGCAAGGUCGACAGAAGUAUAUUGGAUAUACAUUAUAUUAAUGUGUACUUUACUAGUACUCCAAGUAGCACUAGGUUAUUAGAUACCGGUUCAGUUGCUAAGUGUUGGUAACUCGAAAUAAAAGGCUACGGAAUAAACGGAGACUAGCUAAAGGUGAGAUGAUGAUAUGUGUUGGAAGUGUUUCCAAGGUUGAUGUGAUCAAGCAUCGCAUGCUCCCUCUACCAUCGAGAUUGGUGUUAAACCUAAAUAAUUGUUAUUUGGUGUUUGCGUUGAGCAUAGACAUGAUUGGAUUAUGUUUAUCGCAAUACGAUUAUUCAUUUAAGGAGAAUAAUGGUUACUCUGUCUAUUUGAAUAAUACCUUCAAUGGUCUUGCACCUAAAAUGAACGGUUUAUUGAAUCUCGAUCGUAGUGAUACACAUGUUCAUGCCAAAAGAUAUAAGAUAGUAAUGAUAGUACCACAUACUUGUGGCACUGCCACUUGAGUCAUAUUGGUAUAAAACGCAUGAAGAAGCUCCAUGUUGAUGGAUCUUUGGACUCACUCGUUUUUGAAAAGAUUGAGACAUGCGAACCAUGUCUAUUAAUAUAUAUGCAUGAAGAAAGUCCAUACAGAUGGAUCGUUUGGACUCACUUGAUUUUGAAUCACUUGAGACAUGCAAAUAAUACCACAUGGGCAAGAUGACUGAAAGGCCUCGUUUUAAGUAAGAUGGAACAAGAAAGCAACUUGUUGGAAGUAAUACAUUUUGAUGUGUGCAGUCCAAUGAGUGCUGAGGCAUGCAGUGGAUAUCGUUAUGUUCUUACUUCACAGAUGAUUUGAGUAGAUGCUGAGUAUAUUUACUUGAUGAAACACAAGUCUGAAUUCUUGAAAGGUUCAAGUAAUUUCAGAGUGAAGUUGAAGAUCGUCGUGACAAGAGGAUAAAAUGUCUGUGAUAUGAUCAUAGAGAUGAAUAUCUGAGUUAGGAGUUUGGCACACAAUUAAUACAUUGUGGAAAUUGUUUCACAACUAAUACCGCCUAGAACUCCAUAGUGCGGUGGUGUGUCCGAACAUCAUAACUGCACCCUAUUGGAUAUGGUGCAUACCAUGAUGUCUCUUAUCGAAUUACCGCUAUCAUUUAUGGGUUAGGCAUUAGAGACAACCACAUUCACUUUAAAUAGGGCACCACGCAAUUCCGUUGAGAUGACACCGUAUGAACUAUGGUUUAGAGAAACCUAAGCUGUCGUUUCUUAAAAGUUUGGGGCUGCGACGCUUAUGUGAAAAAGUUUCAGGCUGAUAAGCUCGAACCCAAAGCGGAUAAAUGCAUCUUCAUAGAAUACCCAAAACAGUUGGAUAUACCUCCUAUUUCAGAUCGGGAAGCAAAGUGAUUGUUUCUAGAAACAGGUCCUUUCUCGAGGAAAAGUUUCUCUCGAAAGAAUUGAGUGGGAGGAUGGUGGAGACUUGAUGAGGUUAUUGAACCAUCACUUCAACUAGUGUGUAGCAGGGCACAGGAAGUUGUUCCUGUGGCACCUACACCAAUUGAAGUGGAAGCUUAUGAUAGUGAUCAUGAAACUUCGGAUCAAGUCACUACCAAACCUCGUAGGUCGACAAGGAUGCGUACUAUUCAGAGUGGUACGCAAUCCUGUCUUGGAAGUCAUGUUGCUAGACAACAAUGAACCUACGAGCUAUGGGGAAGCGAUGGUGGGCCCAGAUUCCGACGAUUAGCUCGAGGCCAUAAAAUCCGAGAGAGGAUCCAUGUAUAAAAACAAAGUAUAGACUUUGGAAGAACUACUUGAUGGUCGUAAGGCUGUUGGGUGCAGAUGGAUUUUAAAAGGAAGACGGACAAUUAUGGUAAGUGUCACCAUUAAGAAAGCUCGACUUGUCGUUAAGAAGAUUUCCGACAAGUUCAAGGAGUUGACUACGAUGAGAUUUUCUCACUCGUAGCGAUGCUAAGAGUCUGUUGGAAUUAUAUUAGCAGUUACUGCAUUAUUUAUGAAAUCUUGCAAAUAGGAUGUCAAAACAUUGUUUCCUCGACGAUUUUCUUGAGGAAAGAUUGUAUGUGAUACAACAAGAAGGUUUUGUCAAUCCUGAAGAUGCUAACAAGUAUGCAAAGCUCCAGCAAUCCUUCUAAGGACUGGAGUAAGCAUCUCGGAGUUGGAAUGUACGCUUUGAUGAGAUGAUCAAAGAUUUUGGGUUUAUACAAAGUUUAUGAGAAACUUGUAUUUCCAAAGAAGUGAGUGGGAGCACUAUAGAAUUUUUGAUGAGUAUAUGUUGUUAACAUAUUGUUGAUCAGAAAUGAUGUAGAAUUUCUGGAAAGCAUACAUGGUUAUUUGAAAAGUGUUUUUCAAUGGAAAACCUGUAUUAAGCUACUUGAACAUUGAGCAUCAAGAUCUAUAAGGAUAGAUCAAAAACGCUUAAUAGUACUUUCAAAUGAAUACAUACCGUGACAAGAUUUUGAAGGAGUUCAAAAUAGAUCAGCAAAGAAGGAGUUCUUGGCUGUGUUACAAGGUAUGAGUAUUGAGUAAGACUCAAGACCUGACCACGGCAGAAGAGAGAAAAAGGACGAAGGUCGUCCCCUAUGCUUUAGACGUAGGCUCUACAGUAUGCUAUGCUGUGUACCGCACCUGAAGUGUGCCUUGCCAUGAAUUAGUCAAGGGGUACAAGAGUGAUCCAGGAAUGGAUCACAUGACAGCGGUCGAACUUAUCCUUAGUAACUAGUGGACUAAGGAAUUUUCUCGAUUAUGGAGGUGGAAAAAGAGUUCGUCGUAAAGGGUUACGUCGAUGCAAACUUUGACACUAAUCCAGAUGACUCUGAGUAGUAAACCGGAUUCGUAUAGUAGAGCAGUUAUUUGGAAUAGCUCCAAGUAGCGCGUGGUAGCUGCAUCUACAAGACGACAUAGAGAUUUGUAAAGCACACACGGAUCUGAAAGGUUCAGACCCGUUGACUAAUAACCUCUCUCACAAGCGAGAUAUGAACAAACCCCAUGGGUGUUGGAUUCAUUACAAUCACAUAGUGAUCUGAACUAGAUUAUUGACUCUAGUGCAAGUGGGAGACUGUUGGAAAUAUGCCCUAGAGGCAAUAAUAAAACGGUUAUUAUUGUAUUUCCUUGUUCAUGAUAAUUGUCUAUUGUUCAUGCUAUAAUUGUAUUAACUGGAAACCGUAAUACAUGUGUGAAUACAUAGACCACAACAUGUCCCUAGUAAGCCUCUAGUUGACUAGCUCGUUGAUCAAUAGACGGUUAUGGUUUCCUGACCAUGGACAUUGGAUGUCAUUGAUAACGGGAUCACAUCAUUAGGAGAAUGAUGUGAUGGACAAGACCCAAUCCUAAGCAUAGCACAAGAUCGUGUAGUUCGUUUGCUAAGAGCUUUUCUAAUGUCAAGUAUCAUUUCCUUAGACCAUGAGAUUGUGCAACUCCCGGAUACCGUAGGAAGGCUUUGGGUGUACCAAACGUCACAACGUAACUAGGUGGCUAUAAAGGUGCACUACAGGUAUCUCCGAAAGUGUCUGUUGGGUUGGCACGAAUCGAGACUGGGAUUUGUCACUCCGUAUGACGGAGAGGUAUCUCUGGGCCCACUCGGUAAUGCAUCAUCAUAAUGAGCUCAAUGUGACUAAUCAGUUAGCCACGAGAUCAUGCGUUACGGAAUGAGUAAAGAGACUUGCCGGUAACGAGAUUGAACGAGGUAUUGGGAUACCGACGAUCGAAUCUCGGGCAAGUAACAUACCGAUAGACAAAGGGAAUUCUAUACGGGAUUGAUUGAAUCCCCGACAUCGUGGUUCAUCCGAUGAGAUCAUCGUGGAACAUGUGGGAGCCAAUAUGGGUAUCCAGAUCCCGCUAUUGGUUAUUGGCUGGAGAGGUGUCUCGGUCAUGUCUGCAUGGUUCCCGAACCCGUAGGUUCUACACACUUAAGGUUCGGUGACGCUAGAGUUGUUAUGGGAAAUAGUAUGUGGUUACCAAAGGUCGUUCGGAGUCCCGGAUGAGAUCCCGGACGUGACGAGGAACUCCGGAGUGGUCCGGAGGUGAAGAUCGAUAUAUUGGACGAAGGGUAUUGGAGUCCGGAAUUGUUCUGGGAGUACCGGGUGACGACCAGCGUGACCGAAAGGUGUUUCGGAGGCCCCGACAAGCGUUGGGGGCCCUUAUGGGCCAAGGGGAGGGGCACACCAGCCCACUAAGGGGCUGUGCGCCCCUCCCAACCCCUCUCACGUAACGUGGAGAGGUGGGGGCGCCUCCCCUAGGGCAGCCACCCCUCCCGGCUUGGGGGGCAAGUUUCCCAGGGGUGGGGGCGCCCAAACCCAUCUAGGGUUUCCCCUGUGGCCGCCGCCCCUCCCCUAGGGAACCCUAGGGCGCCUCCUCCACCCCCUUCCCCCUAUAUAUAGUGAGGGAGAGAGAGGGCAGCUGCACCCCUUUCCCUGGUGCAGCCCUCUCCUCCUCCAACUCCUCCUCCUCCUCCGUAGUGCUUAGCGAAGCUCUGCCGGAGAACCACGAGCUCCAUUGCCACCAUGCCGUCGUGUUGCUGGAGUUCUCCCUCAACUUCUCCUCUCCCCUUGCUGGAUCAAGAAGGAGGAGACGUCCCCGGGCUGUACUUGUGUUGAACGCGGAGGCGCCGUCCGUUCGGCGCUAGAUCGGAUUUUCCGCGAUUUGAAUCGCUGCGAGUACGACUCCAUCAACCGCGUUCUUGUAACGCUUCCGCUUAGCGAUCUUCAAGGGUAUGAAGAUGCACUCCCUCUCUCUCAUUGCUAGCAUCUCCUAGAUUGAUCUUGGUGACACGUAGGAAAAUUUUGAAUUAUUACUACUUUCCCCAACACCUAACCCAUCUCAGGUGUGGCGCUCAAUGAGGGAAGGAAGAGAAGUUCUGUCCCUGGGCUUGAUUAAGCGUAUAGGUACGGGGGAAGACACUCAAAUUUGGCAGCACAACUGGCUACCGAGGGAUUUCAAGCUGAGACCGAUCUGCUCUCGAUCAGCUAACCCGCCCCUGUUGGUGUCUGAUCUCAUUAAUCAGUCAACCAGGAUAUGGAAUAGGCAAGUAUUAGAGGAUCACUUCAAUGCACCAGACAUAGAUGUCAUUCUGAAUAUUCCGGUUAGUACGCGAGUGCAUGAAGACUUCUGGGCGUGGCACUAUGAUCGUAGGGGCUUAUUCUCAGUACGUUCUACUUACAGAAUGAUCUCUGGAAUUAAAUUUCAGCGAGAAGACUGGUUGGAAAAUCGAACAAGCAACUCGAACCAAACGGCGACGAAGAAUGACUGGUCAAGACUGUGGAAAACAGAGGUGCCAUCAAAGGUCCGGGUUUUUGUGUGGCGUUUGGCCCACACGUCUCUGCCGACGGGAUCGACCAGACACGAGAGGAAGAUGGCUACAUCUCCAGUAUGCGCGAUAUGCUCGGUGACCGAAGAUACUUGGCGUCAUUCUCUUCUCAACUGCCGGAUGGCUCGGUGUGUCUGGUCUUUGGGAGAUGAAGGUAUUCUUGAGCAUGUGAUAUCAAAUCAAGAUGAAGACGCAAGACAGUGGCUCUUUUGUGUUGGAAAUAUGCCCUAGAGGCAUAAUAAAAUGGUUAUUAUUGUAUUUCCUUGUUCAUGAUAAUUGUCUAUUGUUCAUGCUAUAAUUGUAUUAACUGGAAACCGUAAUACAUGUGUGAAUACAUAGACCACAACAUGUCCCUAGUGAGCCUCUAGUUGACUAGCUCGUUGAUCAAUAGAUGGUUAUGGUUUCCUUACCAUGGACAUUGGAUGUCAUUGAUAACGGGAUCACAUCAUUAGGAGAAUGAUGUGAUGGACAAGACCCAAUCCUAAGCAUAGCACAAGAUCGUGUAGUUCGUUUGCUAGAGCUUUUCUAAUGUCAAGUAUCGUUUCCUUAUACCAUGAGAUUGUGCAACUCCCGGAUACCGUAGGAAUGCUUUGGGUGUACCAAACGUCACAACGUAACUGGGUGGCUAUAAAGGUGCACUACAGGUAUCUCCGAAAGUGUCUGUUGGGUUGGUACGAAUCGAGACUGGGAUUUGUCACCCCGUAUGACGGAGAGGUAUCUCUAGGCCCACUCGGUAAUGCAUCAUCAUAAUGAGCUCAAUGUGACUAAUGAGUUAGCCACGGGAACAUGCGUUACGGAACGAUUAAAGAGACUUGCCGGUAACGAGAUUGAACAAGGUAUAGGGAUACCGACGAUCGAAUCUCGGGUAAGUAACAUACCGAUAGACAAAGGGAAUUGUAUACGUGAUUGAUUGAAUCCCCAACAUCGUGGUUAAUCCGAUGAGAUCAUCGUGGAACAUGUGGGAGCCAAUAUGGGUAUCCAGAUCCCGCUAUUGGUUAUUGGCCGGAGAGGUGUCUCGGUCAUGUCUGCAUGGUUCCCGAACCCGUAGGGUCUACACACUUAAGGUUCGGUGACGCUAGAGUUGUUAUGCGAAAUAGUAUGUGGUUACCGACGGUUGUUCGGAGUCCCGGAUGAGAUCCCAGACAUGACAAGGAGCUCCGGAAUGGUCCGGAGGUGAAGAUCGGUAUAUUGGACGAAGGGUAUUGGAGUCCGGAAUUGUUCCGGGGGUACCAGGCUAUGGCCAGCAUGUCCGAAAGGGGUUUCGGGGGCCCGGCAAGCGUUGGGGGGCCUUAUGGGCCAAGGGGAAGGGGAAAACCAGCCCACUAAGGGGCUGUGCGCCCCUCCCAACCCCUCUCACGUAACCAGGAGAGGUGGGGGCGCCACCCCUAGGGCAGCCGCCCCUCCCGGCUUUGGGGGCAAGUUUCCUAGGGGGUGGGAGCGCCCAAACCCAUCUAGGGUUUCCCCUGGACGCCGCCUCCUCCUCCUCUAGAUCCAUCUAGAGGGGCCGGCCACCCUCUCCCCUUCCCCCUAUAUAUAGUGAGGGGGUGGGAGGGCAGCCACAACCCUUUGCCUGGCGCUGCCCUCUCCUCCUCCAACUCCUCCUCCUCCUCCGUAGUGCUUAGCGAAGCUCUGCCGGAGAACCACGAGCUCCAUUGCCACCAUGCUGUCGUGCUGCUGGAGUUCUCCCUCAACUUCUCCUCUCCCCUUGCUGGAUCAAGAAGGAUGAGACGUCCCCGGGCUGUACGUGUGUUGAACGCGGAGGCGCCGUCCGUUCGGCGCUAGAUCGGAUCUUCCGCGAUUUGAAUCGCCGCGAGUACGACUCCAUCAACCGCGUUCUUGUAACGCUUCCGCUUAGCGAUCUUCAAGGGUAUGAAGAUGCACUCCCUCUCUCUCGUUGCUAGCAUCUCCUAGAUUGAUCUUGGUGACACAUAGGAAAAUUUUGAAUUAUUGCUACGUUCCCGAACAGUGGCAUCAUGAGCUAGGUCUAUGCGUAGAUUCUAUGCAUGAGUAGAACACAAAGUAGUCGUGGGCGAUGAUUUGGUCAAUUUGCUUGCCGUUACUAGUCUUAUCUUGAUUCGGCGGCAUUGUGGGAUGUAGCGGCCCGGACCGACCUUACACGUACUCUUACGUGAGACAGGUUCCACCGACUGACAUGCACUUGAUGCAUAAGGUGGCUAGCGGGUGUCUGUCUCUCCCACUUUAGUCGGAUGGGAUUCGAUGAAGAGGGUCCUUAUGAAUGGUAAAUAGCAAUUGGCAUAUCACCGUUGUGGCUUUUGCGUAGGUAAGAAACGUUCUUGCUAGAAACCCAUAGCAGCCACGUAAAACAUGCAACAACAAUUAGAGGACGUCUAACUUGUUUUUGCAGGGUAUGCUAUGUGAUGUGAUAUGGCCAAAAGGAUGUGAUGAAUUAUAUAUAUGUGAUGUAUGAGAUUGAUCAUGUUCUUGUAAUAGGAAUCACGACUUGCAUGUCGAUGAGUAUGACAACCGGCAGGAGCCAUAGGAGUUGUCUUAAUUUAUUGUAUGAGCUGCAUGUCAAUGAAAAACGCCAUGUAAUUACUUUACUUUAUUGCUAACUGUUAGCCAUAGUAGUAGAAGUAAUAGUUGGCGAGACAACUUCAUGAAGACACGAUGAUGGAGAUCAUGAUGAUGGAGAUCAUGGUGUCAUGCUGGUGAUGAAGGUGAUCAUGCCGCGCCUCGAAGAUGGAGAUCAAAAGGCGCAAGAUGAUAUUGGCCAUAUCAUGUCACUUUAUGAUUUGCAUGUGAUGUUUGUCAUGUUUACAUCUUAUUUGCUUAGAACGACGGUAGCAUAAAUAAGAUGAUCCCUCACUAAAAUUUCAAGAGAUGUGUUCCCCCUAACUGUGCACCGUUGCGAAGGUUCGUUGUUUCGAAGCACCACGUGAUGAUCGGGUGUGAUAGAUUCUAACGUUCGCAUACAACGGGUGUAAGCCAGAUUUACACAUGCGAAACACUUAGGUUGACUUGACGAGCCUAGCAUGUACAGACAUGGCCUCGGAACACAAGAGACCGAAAGGUCGAACAUGAGUCAUAUAGUAGAUACGAUCAACAUGGAGAUGUUCACCGUUGAUGACUAGUCCGUCUCACGUGAUGAUCGGACACGGUCUAGUCGAUUAGGAUCAUGUAUCACUUAGAUGACUAGAGGGAUGUCUAUCUAAGUGGGAGUUCAUUAAAUAAUCAGAUGAACUUAAUUAUCAUGAACAUAGUCAAAAGGUGUUUGCAAAUUAUGUCAUAGCUUACGCUUUGGUUCUACUGUUUAAGAUAUGUUCCUAGAGAAAAUUUAGUUAAAAGUUGAUAGUAGCAAUUAUGCGGACUGGGUCCGUAAACUGAGGAUUGUCCUCAAUGCUGCGCAGAAGGCUUAUGUCCUUAAUGCACCGCUCGGUGUGCUGAACCUCAAGCGUUGUCUGUGGAUGUUGCAAACAUCUGACAUACACGUUUUGAUGACUAUGUGAUAGUUCAGUGCGUAAUGCUAACGGUUUAGAAUUGAGGCGCCAAAGACGUUUUUGAAACGUCGCAGAACAUAUGAGAUGUUCCAAAGACUGAAAUUGGGAUUUCAGACUAGUGCCCACGUCAAGAGGUAUGAGACCUCUGACAAGUUUGUUAAGCCUGCAAACUAAGGGAGAAAAGCUCAUUCGUUGAGCAUGUGCUCAGAUUGUCUGAGUACUACAAUCGCUUGAAUCGAGUGGGAGUUAAUCUUCCAGAUGAGAUAGUGAUGGUUCUCCAAAGUUACUGCCACCAAGCUACUAGAGCUUCGUGAUGAACUGUAACAUAUUAGGGAUAGAUAUGAUGAUCCUUGAGCAACUCGCGAUGUUUGACACCGCGAAAGUAGAAAUCAAGUAGGAGCAUCAAUUGUUGAUGGUUAGUAAAACCACUAGUUUCAAGAAGGGCAAGGGAAAGAAGGGAUACUUCAUGAAACGGCAAAUCAGUUGCUGCUCUAGUGAAGAAACCCAAGGUUGAACCCAAACCCGAGACUAAGUGCUUCUGUAAUGAGGGGAACGGUCACUGAAGCAAACUACCCUAGAUACUUGGUAGAUGAGAAGGCAGGCAAGGUCGACAGAAGUAUAUUGGAUAUACAUUAUAUUAAUGUUUACUUUACUAGUACUCCUAGUAGCACCAGGGUAUUAGAUACCGGUUCGGUUGCUAAGUGUUGGUAUCUCGAAAUAAAAGGCUACGGAAUAAACAGAGACUAGCUAAAGGUGAGAUGACGAUAUGUGUUGGAAGUGUUUCCAAGGUUGAUGUAAUCAAACAUCAUACGCUCCCUCUACCAUCGGGAUUGGUAUUAAACCUAAAUAAUUGUUAUUUGGUGUUUGCGUCGAGCAUAGACAUGAUUGGAUUAUGUUUAUCGCAAUACAGUUAUUCAUUUAAGGAGAAUAAUGGUUACUCUGUUUAUUUGAAUAAUACCUUCAAUGGUCUUGCACCUAAAAUGAAUGGUUUAUUGAAUCUCGAUCGUAGUGAUACACAUGUUCAUGCCAAAAGAUAUAAAAUAGUAAUGAUAGUACCACAUACUUGUGGCACUGCUAUUUGAGUCAUAUUGGUAUAAAACGCAUGAAGAAGCUCCAUGUUGAUGGAUCUUUGGACUCACUCAUUUUUGAAAUGAUUGAGACAUGCAAACCAUGUCUAUUGGUAGAUAUGCAUGAAGAAACUCCAUACAGAUGGAUUGUUUGGACUCACUUGAUUUUGAAUCACUUGAGACAUGCAAAUCAUAACACAUGGGCAAGAUGACUGAAAGGCCUCGUUUUCAGUAAGAUGGCACAAGAAAGCAACUUGUUGGAAGUAAUACAUUUUGAUGUGCGCAGUCCAAUGAGUGCUAAGGCAUGCAGUGGAUAUCGUUAUGUUCUUACUUCACAGAUGAUUUGAGUAGAUGCUGAGUAUAUUUACUUGAUGAAACACAAGUCUGAAUUAUUGAAAGGUUCAAGUAAUUUCAGAGUGAAGUUGAAGAUCGUCAUGACAAGAGGAUAAAAUGUCUGUGAUAUGAUCAUAGUGAUGAAUAUCUGAGUUACGAGUUUGGCACUCAAUUAAGACAUUGUGGAAAUUGUUUCACAACUAAUACUUCCUGGAACACCAUAGUGUGAUGGUGUGUCCGAACAUCAUAACUGCACCCUAUUGGAUAUGGUGCAUACCAUGAUGUCUCUUAUCGAAUUACCGCUAUCGUUUAUGGGCUAGGCAUUAGAGACAACCGCAUUCACUUUAAAUAGGGCACCACACAAUUCCGUUGAGACGACACCGUAUGAACUAUGUUUAGAGAAACCUAAGCUGUCGUUUCUUACAAGUUUGGGGCUGCGACGCUUAUGUGAAAAAGUUUCAGGCUCAUAAGCUCGAACCCAAAGCGGAUAAAUGCAUCUUCAUAGAAUACCCAAAACAGUUGGGUAUACCUCCUAUUUCAGAUCUGGAAGCAAAAGUGAUUGUUUCUAGAAACGGGUCCUUUCUCAAGGAAAAGUUUCUCUCGAAAGAAUUGAGUGGGAGGAUGGUGGAGACUUGAUGAGGUUAUUGAACCGUCACUUCAACUAGUGUGUAGCAGGGCACAGGAAGUUGUUCCUAUGGCACCUACACCAAUUGAAGUGGAAGCUUAUGAUAGUGAUCAUGAAACUUCGGAUCAAGUCACUUCCAAACCUCGUAGGUCGACAAGGAUGCGUACUACUUCAGAGUGGUACGUAAUCCUAUCUUGGAAGUCAUGUUGCUAGACAACAAUGAACCUACGAGCUAUGGAUAAGCGAUGGUGGGCCCGGAUUCCGACGAAUGGCACGAGGCCAUAAAAUCCAAGAGAGGAUCCAUGUAUAAAAACAAAGUAUAGACUUUGGAAGAACUACUUGAUGGUCGUAAGGCUGUUGGGAGCAGAUGGAUUUUAAAAGGAAGACAGACAAUGAUGGUAAGUGUCACCAUUAAGAAAGCUCAACUUGUCGUUAAGAUGUUUUCCGACAAGUUCAAGGAGUUGACUGCGAUGAGACUUUCUCACUCGUAGCGAUGCUAAGAGUCUGUUGGAAUUAUAUUUGCAGUUACUGCAUUAUUUAUGAAAUCUUGCAGAUAGGAUGUCAAAACAUUGUUUCCUCGAUGAUUUUCUUGAGGAAAGGUUGUAUGUGAUACAACCAGAAGGUUUUGUCAAUCCUGAAAGAUGCUAACAAGUAUGCAAAGCUCCAACAAUCCUUCUAAGGACUGGAGUAAGCAUCUCGGAGUUGGAAUGUAUGCUUUGAUGAGAUGAUCAAAUAUUUUGUGUUUUUACAAAGUUUAUGAGAAACUUGUAUUUCCAAAGAAGUAAGUGGGAGCACUAUAGAAUUUUUGAUGAGUAUAUGUUGUUAACAUAUUGUUGAUCAGAAAUGAUGUAGAAUUUCUGGAAAGCAUACAGGGUUAUUUGAAAAGUGUUUUUCAAUGGAAACCCUGGAUUAAGCUACUUGAACAUUGAGCAUCAAGAUCUAUAAGGAUAGAUCAAAAACACUUAAUAGUACUUUCAAAUGAAUACAUACCGUGACAGGAUUUUGAAGGAGUUCAAAAUAGAUCAGCAAAGAAGGAGUUCUUGGCUGUGUUACAAGGUGUGAGUCUUGAGUAAGACUCAAGACCUGACCACGGCAGAAGAGAGAGAAAGGACGAAGGUCGUCCCCUAUGAUUUAGACGUAGGCUCUACAGUAUGCUAUGCUGUGUACCGCACUUGAAGUGUGCCUUGCCAUGAGUUAGUCAAGGGGUACAAUAGUGAUCUAGGAAUGGAUCACAUGAAAGCGGUCGAACUUAUCCUUAGUAACUAGUGGACUAAGGAAUUUUCUCGAUUAUGGAGGUGACAAAAGAGGUCGUCGUAAAGGGUUACGUCGAUGCAAACUUUGACACUAAUCUGGAUGACUCGGAGUAGAAAACCAGAUUCGUAUAGUAGAGCAGUUAUUUGGAAUAGCUACAAGUAGUGCGUGGUAGCUGCAUCUACAAGAUGACAUAGAGAUUUGCAAAGCACACACGGAUCUAAAAGGUUCAGACCCGUUGACUAAAAACCUCUCUCGUAAGCAUAAAAUGAUCAAACCCUAGAACUCAAUGAGUGUUAAUCACAUGAUGAUGUGAACUAGAUUAUUGACUCUAGUAAACUCUUGGGUAUUGUUCACAUGGCGAUGUGAACUUUGAGUGUUAAUCACAUGGUGAUGUGAACUAGAUUAUUGACUCUAGUGCAAGUGGGAGACUGUUGGAAAUAUUCCCUAGAGGCAAUAAUAAAAUGGUUAUUAUUGUAUUUCCUUGUUCAUGAUAAUUGUCUAUUGUUCAUGCUAUAAUUGUUUUAACUGGAAACCGUAAUACAUGUGUGAAUACAUAGACCACAACAUGUCCCUAGUGAGCCUCUAGUUGACUAGCUCGUUGAUCAAUAGAUGGUUAUGGUUUCCUUACCAUGGACAUUGGAUGUCAUUGAUAACAGGAUCACAUCAUUAGGAGAAUGAUGUGAUGGACAAGACCCAAUCCUAAGCAUAGCACAAGAUCGUGUAGUUCGUUUGCUAGAGCUUUCCUAAUGUCAAGUAUCGUUUCCUUAGACCAUGAGAUUGCGCAACUCCCGGAUACCGUAGGAAUGCUUUGGGUGUACCAAACGUCACAACGUAACUGGGUGGCUAUAAAGGUGCACUACAGGUAUCUCCGAAAGUGUCUGUUGGGUUGGUACGAAUCGAGACUGGGAUUUGUCACUCCGUAUGACAGAGAGGUAUCUCUGGGCCCACUCGGUAAUGCAUCAUCAUAAUGAGCUCAAUGUGACUAAUGAGUUAGCCACGGGAUCAUGCGUUACGGAACGAGUAAAGAGACUUGCCGGUAACGAGAUUGAACAAGGUAUAGGGAUACCGACGAUCGAAUCUCGGGCAAGUAACAUACCGAUAGACAAAGGGAAUUGUAUACGGGAUUGAUUGAAUCCCCAACAUCGUGGUUCAUCCGAUGAGAUCAUCGUGGAACAUGUGGGAGCCAAUAUGGGUAUCCAGAUCCCGCUAUUGGUUAUUGGCCGGAGAAGUGUCUCGGUCAUGUCUGCAUGGUUCCCGAACCCGUAGGGUCUACACACUUUAGGUUUGGUUAUGCUAGAGUUGUUAUGGGAAAUAGUAUGUGGUUACCGAAGGUUGUUCGGAGUCCCGGAUGAGAUCCCGGACAUGACGAGGAGCUCCGGAAUGGUCCGGAGGUGAAGAUCGGUAUAUUGGACGAAGGGUAUUGGAGUCCAAAAUUGUUCCGCGGGUACCAGGCUAUGGCCAGCAUGUCCGAAAGGGGUUUCGGAGGCCCGGCAAGCGUUGGGGGGCCUUAUAGGCCAAGGGGAAGGGGAAAACCAGCCCACUAAGGGGCUGUGCGCCCCUCCCAACCCCUCUCACGUAACCAGGAGAGGUGGGGGCGCCACCCCUAGGGCAGCCGCCCCUCCCGGCUUUGGGGGCAAGUUUCCUAGGGGGUGGGGGCGCCCAAACCCAUCUAGGGUUUCCCCUGGCCGCCGCCUCCUCCUCUAGAUCCAUCUAGAGGGGCCGGCCCCCUCUCCCCUUCCCCCUAUAUAUAGUGAGGGGGUGGGAGGGCAGCCACAACCCUUUGGCUGGCGCUGCCCUCUCCUCCUCCAACACCUCCUCCUCCUCCGUAGUGCUUAGCGAAGCUCUGCCGGAGAACCACGAGCUCCAUUGCCACCAUGCCGUCGUGCUGCUGGAGUUCUCCCUCAACUUCUCCUCUCCCCUUGUUGGAUCAAGAAGGAUGAGACGUCCCCGGGCUGUACGUGUGUUGAACGCGGAGGCGCCGUCCGUUCGGCGCUAGAUUGGAUCUUCCACGAUUUGAAUCGCCGCGAGUACGACUCCAUCAACCGCGUUCUUGUAAUGCUUCCGCUUAGCGAUCUUCAAGGGUAUGAAGAUGCACUUCCUCUCUCUCGUUGCUAGCAUCUCCUAGAUUGAUCUUGGUGACACGUAGGAAAAUUUUGAAUUAUUGCUACGUUCCCCAACAGUGGCAUCAUGAGCUAGGUCUAUGCGUAGAUUCUAUGCACGAGUAGAACACAAAGUAGUUGUGGGCGAUGAUUUGUUCAAUUUGCUUGCCGUUACUAGUCUUAUCUUGAUUCGGCGGCAUUGUGGGAUUUAGCGGCCCGGACCGACCUUACACGUACUCUUACGUGAGACAGGUUCCACCGACUGACAUGCACUUGAUGCAUAAGGUGGCUAGCGGGUGUCUGUCUCUCCCACUUUAGUCGGAUGGGAUUCGAUGAAGAGGGUCCUUAUGAAGGGUAAAUAGCAAUUGGCAUAUCACCGUUGUGGCUUUUGCGUAGGUAAGAAACGUUCUUGCUAGAAACCCAUAGCAGCCACGUAAAACAUGCAACAACAAUUAGAGGACGUCUAACUUGUUUUUGCAGGGUAUGCUAUGUGAUGUGAUAUGGCCAAAAGGAUGUGAUGAAUUAUAUAUAUGUGAUGUAUGAGAUUGAUCAUGUUCUUGUAAUAGGAAUCACGACUUGCAUGUCGAUGAGUAUGACAACCGGCAGGAGCCAUAGGAGUUGUCUUAAUUUAUUGUAUGACCUGCGUGUCAAUGAAAAACGCCAUGUAAUUACUUUACUUUAUUGCUAACCGUUAGCCAUAGUAGUAGAAGUAAUAGUUGGCGAGACAACUUCAUGAAGACAUGAUGAUGGAGAUCAUGGUGUCAUGCCGGUGACGAAGGUGAUCAUGCCGCGCCUCGAAGAUGGAGAUCAAAAGGCGCAAGAUGAUAUUGGCCAUAUCAUGUCACUUUAUGAUUUGCAUGUGAUGUUUGUCAUGUUUACAUCUUAUUUGCUUAGAACGACGGUAGCAUAAAUAAGAUGAUCCCUCACUAAAAUUUCAAGAGAUGUGUUCCCCCUAACUGUGCACCGUUGUGAAGGUUCGUUGUUUUGAAGCACCACGUGAUGAUCGGGUGUGAUAGAUUCUAACGUUCGCAUACAACGGGUGUAAGCCAGAUUUACACAUGCGAAACACUUAGGUUGACUUGACGAGCCUAGCAUGUACAGACAUGGCCUCGGAACACAAGAGACCGAAAGGUCGAACAUGAGUCGUAUAGUAGAUACGAUCAACAUGGAGAUGUUCACCGUUGAUGACUAGUCCGUCUCACGUGAUGAUCGGACACGGUCUAGUCGAUUCGGAUCAUGUAUCACUUAGAUGACUAGAGGGAUGUCUAUCUAAGUGGGAGUUCAUUAAAUAAUCAGAUGAACUUAAUUAUCAUGAACAUAGUCAAAAGGUGUUUGCAAAUUAUGUCAUAGCUUACGCUUUGGUUCUACUGUUUAAGAUAUGUUCCUAGAGAAAAUUUAGUUGAAAGUUGAUAGUAGCAAUUAUGCGGACUGGGUCCGUAAACUGAGGAUUGUCCUCAAUGCUGCGCAGAAGGCUUAUGUCCUUAAUGCACCGCUCGGUGUGCUGAACCUCAAGCGUUGUCUGUGGAUGUUGCGAACAUCUGACAUACACGUUUUGAUGACUACGUGAUAGUUCAGUGCGUAAUGCUAACGGUUUAGAAUUGAGGCGCCAAAGACGUUUUUGAAACGUCGCAGAACAUAUGAGAUGUUCCAAAGACUGAAAUUGGGAUUUCAGACUAGUGCCCACGUCAAGAGGUAUGAGACCUCUGACAAGUUUCUUAAGCCUGCAAACUAAGGGAGAAAAGCUCAUUCGUUGAGCAUGUGCUCAGAUUGUCUGAGUACUACAAUCGCUUGAAUCGAGUGGGAGUUAAUCUUCCAGAUGAGAUAGUGAUGGUUCUCCAAAGUUACUGCCACCAAGCUACUAGAGCUUCGUGAUGAACUGUAACAUAUUAGGGAUAGAUAUGAUGAUCCUUGAGCAACUCGCGAUGUUUGACACCGCGAAAGUAGAAAUCAAGUAGGAGCAUCAAUUGUUGAUGGUUAGUAAAACCACUAGUUUCAAGAAGGGCAAGGGAAAGAAGGGAUACUUCAUGAAACGGCAAAUCAGUUGCUGCUCUAGUGAAGAAACCCAAGGUUGAACCCAAACCCGAGACUAAGUGCUUCUGUAAUGAGGGGAACGGUCACUGAAGCAAACUACCCUAGAUACUUGGUAGAUGAGAAGGCAGGCAAGGUCGACAGAAGUAUAUUGGAUAUACAUUAUAUUAAUGUUUACUUUACUAGUACUCCUAGUAGCACCAGGGUAUUAGAUACCGGUUCGGUUGCUAAGUGUUGGUAUCUCGAAAUAAAAGGCUACGGAAUAAACAGAGACUAGCUAAAGGUGAGAUGACGAUAUGUGUUGGAAGUGUUUCCAAGGUUGAUGUAAUCAAACAUCAUACGCUCCCUCUACCAUCGGGAUUGGUAUUAAACCUAAAUAAUUGUUAUUUGGUGUUUGCGUCGAGCAUAGACAUGAUUGGAUUAUGUUUAUCACAAUACAGUUAUUCAUUUAAGGAGAAUAAUGGUUACUCUGUUUAUUUGAAUAAUACCUUCAAUGGUCUUGCACCUAAAAUGAAUGGUUUAUUGAAUCUCGAUCGUAGUGAUACACAUGUUCAUGCCAAAAGAUAUAAAAUAGUAAUGAUAGUACCACAUACUUGUGGCACUGCCAUUUGAGUCAUAUUGGUAUAAAACGCAUGAAGAAGCGCCAUGUUGAUGGAUCUUUGGACUCACUCAUUUUUGAAAAGAUCGAGACAUGCAAACCAUGUCUAUUGGUAGAUAUGCAUGAAGAAACUCCAUACAGAUGGAUCGUUUGGACUCACUUGAUUUUGAAUCACUUGAGACAUGCAAAUCAUAACACAUGGGCAAGAUGACUGAAAGGCCUCGUUUUCAGUAAGAUGGCACAAGAAAGCAACUUGUUGGAAGUAAUACAUUUUGAUGUGCGCAGUCCAAUGAGUGCUGAGGCAUGCAGUGGAUAUCGUUAUGUUCUUACUUCACAGAUGAUGUAGCGACCCGACCCAAAUGGAUCAAGUCUCUGUGCUUAAGUGUCAUCCCUGGAUCGGUAUGCUGACACACACAGUACUUGAGGAUUUAUAACAGAGGUAAAUCACAUGUAUAAAAUAACGUAAAUACUAUUACCUCAAUCCAAAUAGCGGAAGUAACAGGGUUGUGGAUUCCCAUCAACACCAACGGCAAAGUUGAGUGUAGAAAUCGUAACCCUAACGUAUCACUUACUCGUCGUAAGAAUCCUGCAACAUGAAACGUUGCAGCCCGAAAACGGGUCAGCACAUGGAAUAUGCUGGCAAAUUCACACCAUAGAGAAAUGUUGAACAAAGGCUAUCACUACAUGCAUAUAUGGCUGGUGGAAAAGCUCUAUUGUUAUAAUGUUUUUGCGAAAAGCCAAUUUUUCCCUACUUCAAAGGAAUAAACUUUAUUUAACUAUCAUGGUGGUUGUGAAACAUUGAGAUGGUUGACAGCAUCUCAAUCCCAAUUAAGUAACAUAAUUAACCCAACAAUAUUGAUUAAAGUAACAUGUUGAGAUCAACGGGAUAAUCCAAGAACUAGAUACUCAAGAUGUCCAUAACCGGGGACACGGCUAACCAUGAUUAGUUUGUACACUCUGCAGAGGUUUGCGCACUUUUCCCCACAAGACUCGAUCGCCUCCGCUUGAUUCUCGCACUGCAUGAUGUUUGAGAAACGGAUGACCGAGACACAGUCUUUCCGAAGAGGUCCCCUUAACCGAUAGAUAGGCCGGUACACCUACAAUCCCCUACAUCUGCUAGCCCAUCAUGGAAAGGUUUCCCACAACUUACUCAACUAUGCUAGAGCCCAUAAUAGCUUGUGGCUGCACACGGAAGUUUCUAGCAUGAAUAAUCUUAUGAUUCCUUUGAGCCUGGGUGGCGGUCCUUAUACAAACAGACAACACUGGGUUCUCCAGGUGCCUCAAUCCACCCAGAUGUGAGUUUUAGUUUCCACCUUAGGUAAACCAUUAUUAUCAAUCUCACAUCUGUCAUGAAUAUCUCUCAAACCCAAUCCACAUCUACGAGCAUAGCAUGGCAAUAUAAUAGCAACGUAGAAGUAACUCCCAAGGGUUUGAUAAUAAACAGGGCAAUAGGUACUACCUCAUCAACUACUUCCCAAUACCCACAUGUUAUCAAUCCUACUCAUGCAAUGUUCGAGGGUUGAAUCUAAUGCAUAAAAACUAGGUAUGAAAGGGAUAUGAUCAAAGUGUGAACUUGCCUGCAAUGUUGAUGAAGAUGAUUCGCACUCAAAACUCUUGAUAGAUCUACUCGUCACACUCCGGUCAAUCUAUCGUAAGCAAGCAAUGGUAACCACACAUAAGCAAUCACUCAAAAGAUCAGAAAGAACGAGGAAAACAAUUCGGAAAACUUCAAAACCAAGCAAUUAACUCUUGCAACAUAAAACAAUUUCUAACAGUACCAAAAUUAUGUGAAUUUGGCCUUAUCAGAAAGUUUAGGUCAAGAGCUUUGGUUUGCAAAAAGAAUCAACUCGAACGGAGUUAUAAAACUCAAGUUAUGAUCAAACGAAGUUUGAAUUCAAAUCUGAUCUAAUUCAAAUUUUAAAACUUUCAAAAACAUGUUUAAGUUGUUUUACUGGAUAGAGGGGAUCAUAACGAAGACGUGGGCGUUGGUUUCGUUGGAUUUGGACAAACGAGUGAAAAGUAGUGAUCGUUUGAAAAUCAGGGACUAAUCUGUAAAUAAAAUAACUACAACUAGGUCCCUGGCGAAAAUAACAGGAAAAAGAAAAAGCUAAAUAGCGAACGUGCGUUAACUAGUUCUAAACAGUGGACGUUCGUUGUUUAGAAAAACCUAAAUAUAACAGAUCUAGUCCAGGGUUUUUUUAACAAAACCAAAACGAAUAAAAAAAAUAAACCGGGGCGGUUCACGGUUUAUACCGGUUCGCGGCGGUCCGGCGGCGGACCGGGUCGGCGGUGGCGGGGUUCGCCGGCGUCAGAGAAGGGCGGCGGCAGCUCGGGCUCGACCGGAGCGGCGGCUCUGGUNNNNNNNNNNNNNNNNNNNNNNNNNNNNNNNNNNNNNNNNNNNNNNNNNNNNNNNNNNNNNNNNNNNNNNNNNNNNNNNNNNNNNNNNNNNNNNNNNNNNNNNNNNNNNNNNNNNNNNNNNNNNNNNNNNNNNNNNNNNNNNNNNNNNNNNNNNNNNNNNNNNNNNNNNNNNNNNNNNNNNNNNNNNNNNNNNNNNNNNNNNNNNNNNNNNNNNNNNNNNNNNNNNNNNNNNNNNNNNNNNNNNNNNNNNNNNNNNNNNNNNGGGCAGAGGAGUCCGAGGCGGGGACGUGGCCAUGGCGGCGCGGCGGCGUGCGGGAGGCGGAGUCCCGCCCGGGAGGUGGGGGACGCGCGGGCGUCGGGCUGGGCCGUGGCCUGGCUGGGUGCUGGGCCGGCCCAGUUCGGCGGAGGGUUUUUUUUUAUAAACAGAGAAAGAAAUAAUAAAAACAAAGAAAAUGAAAAUAUUAUAUAGGCAUAUAAUAUAUCAAAAUUUUCAGAAAAAGAUUUCCAACAACAUGGACAUUUUUACAACGCCAAAUAAAAUUCACACAAAUUUAAAUAAAUCAAACAGUGCUGCUGCCUUAAUAAAAUCCAAUAAAAAUCAUUUUAAAAAUACCAAAAUGAUUUCAAAUUUAUUUUUCUCCAAUUUUCUGAUGUAGGGAAUCAUUUUACCCUAAUUUCUGAAUAUUUUAUUUUUGGAGAAAAAUAAUUUGAAUAAAACUCAAAUAACCCCAAUAUUGAAAAAUAAUUUCAAUGGGACUUUGAUUUUAAUCCUUUGAGACUCCCAACUCAUAUUUCAUUUGUUUUGAAGAAGUCAUUUUAUCUUCUCUCGUGAAAAUCAUUGAGUUGCAUAAAGUUUCAGAAAUGGGAAAUAUUUUCAAAUGAAAUUCAAAUAUUUUCUACACCCCUUGUCAUUUAAAUAAAUGGAAGAAGUCAUGUCAUCUUCUCUCCAGGGUGUUGUGGUGAAAAGAAUUUGAAUUCAUGGAGAUCAUAAAAGCAAAAUGAAAGUUUGGGAAAGUCCUUUUAUCCCCUCUCAUUUAACUUUCAAAAGAUCUCGAAUUCCACUCACUUUCAGUUAAUCAAUCAAACAAUCAACCCAAUAUAUCUGUUUAUUAUAACAUUCCAAAAUUUAGAAUUUUGGGAUGUUACAGAUGAUUUGAGUAGAUGCUGAGUAUAUUUACUUGAUGAAACACAAGUCUGAAUUAUUGAAAGGUUCAAGUAAUUUCAGAGUGAAGUUGAAGAUCGUCGUGACAAAAGGAUAAAAUGUCUGUGAUAAGAUCAUAGAGAUGAAUAUCUGAGUUACGAGUUUGGCACACAAUUAAUACAUUGUGGAAAUUGUUUCACAACUAAUACUGCCUGGAACACCAUAGUGUGAUGGUGUGUCCGAACAUCAUAACUGCACCCUAUUGGAUAUGGUGCAUACCAUGAUGUCUCUUAUCGAAUUAUCGCUAUCGUUUAUGGGCUAGGCAUUAGAGGCAACCGCAUUCACUUUAAAUAGGGCACCACGCAAUUCCGUUGAGACGACACCGUAUGAACUAUGGUUUAGAGAAACCUAAGCUGUCGUUUCUUACAAGUUUGGGGCUGCGAUGCUUAUGUGAAAAAGUUUCAGGCUGAUAAGCUCAAACCCAAAGCGGAUAAAUGCAUCUUCGUAGAAUACCCAAAACAGUUGGGUAUACCUCCUAUUUCAGAUCUGGAAGCAAAAGUGAUUGUUUCUAGAAACGGGUCCUUUCUCGAGGAAAAGUUUCUCUCGAAAGAAUUGAGUGGGAGGAUGGUGGAGACUUGAUGAGGUUAUUGAACCGUCACUUCAACUAGUGUGUAGCAGGGCACAGGAAGUUGUUCCAUUGGCACCUACACCAAUUGAAGUGGAAGCUUAUGAUAGUGAUCAUGAAACUUCGGAUCAAGUCACUUCCAAACCUCGUAGGUCAACAAGGAUGCGUACUACUUCAGAGUGGUACGUAAUCCUAUCUUGGAAGUCAUGUUGCUAGACAACAAUGAACCUACGAGUUAUGGAGAAGCGAUGGUGGGCCCGGAUUCCGACGAAUGGCACGAGGCCAUAAAAUCCGAGAGAGGAUCCAUGUAUAAAAACAAAGUAUAGACUUUGGAAGAACUACUUGAUGGUCGUAAGGCUGUUGGGAGCAGAUGGAUUUUAAAAGGAAGACAGACAAUGAUGGUAAGUGUCACCAUUAAGAAAGCUCGACUUGUCGUUAAGAUGUUUUCCGACAAGUUCAAGGAGUUGACUGCGAUGAGACUUUCUCACUUGUAGCGAUGCUAAGAGUCUGUUGGAAUUAUAUUAGCAGUUACUGCAUUAUUUAUGAAAUCUUGCAGAUAGGAUGUCAAAACAUUGUUUCCUCGACGAUGUUCUUGAGGAAAGGUUGUAUGUGAUACAACCAGAAGGUUUUGUCAAUCCUGAAAGAUGCUAACAAGUAUGCAAAGCUCCAGCAAUCCUUCUAAGGACUGGAGUAAGCAUCUCGGAGUUGGAAUGUACGCUUUGAUGAGAUGAUCAAAGAUUUUGGGUUUUUACAAAGUUUAUGAGAAACUUGUAUUUCCAAAGAAGUGAGUGGGAGCACUAUAGAAUUUUUGAUGAGUAUAUGUUGUUAACAUAUUGUUGAUCAGAAAUGAUGUAGAAUUUCUGGAAAGCAUACAGGGUUAUUUGAAAAGUGUUUUUCAAUGGAAACCCUGGAUUAAGCUACUUGAACAUUGAGAUCAAGAUCUAUAAGGAUAGAUCAAAAAUACUUAAUAGUACUUUCAAAUGAAUACAUACCGUGACAAGAUUUUGAAGGAGUUCAAAAUAGAUCAGCAAAGAAGGAGUUCUUGGCUGUGUUACAAGGUGUGAGUCUUGAGUAAGACUCAAGACCUGACCACGGCAGAAGGGAGAGAAAGGACGAAGGUCGUCCCCUAUGCUUUAGACGUAGGCUCUACAGUAUGCUAUGCUGUGUACCGCACCUGAAGUGUGCCUUGCCAUGAGUUAGUCAAGGGGUACAAUAGUGAUCCAGGAAUGGAUCACAUGACAGCGGUCGAACUUAUCCUUAGUAACUAGUGGACUAAGGAAUUUUCUCGAUUAUGGAGGUGGUAAAAGAGUUCAUCGUAAAGGGUUACGUCGAUGCAAACUUUGACACUAAUCUGGAUGACUCGGAGUAGAAAACCGGAUUCGUAUAGUAGAGCACUUAUUUGGAAUAGCUCCAAGUAGUGCGUGGUAGCUGCAUCUACAAGAUGACAUAGAGAUUUGUAAAGCACACACGGAUCUGAAAGGUUCAGACCCGUUGACUAAAAACCUCUCUCGUAAGCAUAACAUGAUCAAACCCUAGAACUCACUGACUGUUAAUCACAUGGUGAUGUGAACUAGAAACUGCAAUGGAACCUUCCUUGGAGCAUCAGCUGUUGUGUUCGAUGGACUCUCUGAUCCAGCCAGUUUGGAAGCGUGGGCAUGCAAUGAGGCUUUGGCCUUGGGCCAGGACUUGCAUGUUAAGCGACUUCUAAUCGCCUCUGAUUGUGCCGAAGUAAUCACCAAUAUGAGCCGAGACACAGCUUUAGUUUAUGCGCCAAUUCUGCAUGAGAUAGCUAUUCGCAGAAGGAAUUUUGAGCAUGUUCUCUUUCGUCAUGAACCGAGGGAAUGUAUUAGUGAGGCUCAUAGAUUAGCUAAGGCCGCGUCGACUCUUGACGUGGGCCGCCAUGUGUGGCUAGGGAGUGUCCCGGACAUUAUUUGUAUUCCAAACUCUUUGAACUUUGAAUAAAUCCCUAGUUACACCUCAAAAAAAAAAUAUGGAAAAUCCAAUAUCUCUUCUCUUUCCGUUGGCACCGCUGCCUGUCCGUCCCAUCUCCGAUGGCCUCUAGGCCAUGGAGGUGCGGAGGAUCCNNNNNNNNNNNNNNNNNNNNNNNNNNNNNNNNNNNNNNNNNNNNNNNNNNNNNNNNNNNNNNNNNNNNNNNNNNNNNNNNNNNNNNNNNNNNNNNNNNNNNNNNNNNNNNNNNNNNNNNNNNNNNNNNNNNNNNNNNNNNNNNNNNNNNNNNNNNNNNNNNNNNNNNNNNNNNNNNNNNNNNNNNNNNNNNNNNNNNNNNNNNNNNNNNNNNNNNNNNNNNNNNNNNNNNNNNNNNNNNNNNNNNNNNNNNNNNNNNGGGAGGGAUCUCGUUCUCGUUCUUGUUAGAGUCAGGUCUUGGUUGGGUCUGUGUGGGGGUAGCGAUGUCCCUUAGUAGGAAUAAUGUCUUCCAUGUUCUACCCCCGUCCUGAUGGUGCGUCUAGCAUCGUCAGAGGGCGUGUGGAGGUUUGUCUCCGUCCGACCUUGCGGGAUUCGGUCGGUGCUGGACUUCUAUGGAUCUAUUUGGAUCCGGUCUUCGUUCGUCUUCGUUUAGGUGUUUACAGGUUUGAUCCUUCUGAUCUACAACUUCCUUCAUCGGCGAUGGUUGCUACUCUGGUGUGCCGGUCCUAUGGGGUCUUAGCACAACGACUUCCCGACUGUCUACUACAACAAGGUUUGCCCGGCUCCGGUGAGGGAGGCGCGAUGAUGGCGGCGCGUCUUCGGCUUGCUUCAGUGCUUGGAGUCGUCGCCAGGUGGUUCACGGACAUGGUUGUAAUUUUUAUUACCUUUGUUGUUUGUUGUACUGCCAUGAUUAAAGAUGAAUAGAUUGAAAGUUUCUAAAAGAAAGACAAACAGAGGGCCUAAUGUCUUGGAGAUCCAUAUGUCCAAUCUAAACAUCGCCCAUCAUGGAUUACCACUGCCACCAUGGCACCACCGAAGAAAGACGUGAGCAACCUUCACACCCAAAUCUAGAAGAACUCCAUUGCAGACCACACUGCUUUGUGAACCGAUUAAAGGGCCCGCCGGAGACGACAAAACCGAGUGUUUGUGGCACGUCAGUCGGGGAUCAUCCCCAAGUCUGCCAGAUCUUGACGACGUCAUCUUCAUCCAAAGUGACCGGAGAAGAAAAAUGUCGCCACAAGCCGCCAUCCGCGCACCACGCUCCAAGACAUGCACAUACUCUGCACCAGCCGACGCUGUCGCCCGAGAAGACCCUAAGCACCAGCCACCACAAGCUAACAUCAUCAAAACUAAAGUCCGACGAGACACAGAGGCUACCUGUUUCCGGCGCUGCCGAUUGAAGCAUCACUAGGGUGGGGAAAAAGCAGAGCCAGCUUAUUCCGACGCGGUGUUGAUUCCACCACCAAUGCAACACCUCCGAGAAAAACUAAGCCUAUCCUAUCUAGUAGCCUUAACGAAGUUGCCGGGGUCCCCAGUCCCUCAGGCCACCGGAGUGGCAGUCGCAGGGGCUGAGGACCUGCAACCACGCCGAUGAAGAAAGGCGGCAGAGAAGGUCGCCUCUUGAUCGCCUAUGCGAGGCAGUACACGAGCGAAAAUUUUAAAAAAUCCUUAUCUUUGAGAAUUAAGUUUACCGUGACCCAUAGAUCUCAGAAUAUGUUUUACAUCUCACACUAAAUAUAAUCAAGGCAUCUUAUAAGUUCAACCAUAGAAUCCCAAAACACCAAAAAUGCGGACCUAGUCUUGGCCGAACCUCUCAAGUCGUAUGUUCUAUCUUCACCCCCAUAUAUUUUGGUGUUUUGGGAUUAAUGUAUUUUGUUUUUUAAACACUCUCAUAUAUUAAUUAAUUAAAAUUGUUACCACAGUCACUCAUUACAGCAUACGCCACACAAGGCGGAAAAGUAUUAAUAAUGACCCCACCCGUACUAUUAUCAAAACUAAACUCCGCCAAUCCUACGCGCCAUUUUAUCGGUCCGUCGAUUAAUUUUAUACACUUUAAAUCCUUUGAAAAGCUUGGAUAUGCUCGGUGUCUCCUUUAGAUCAACGAAUGGGAACCUGAUAAGUUUAUCAUUUGAAAGAGAAGAAGCCGGAAUAGAGCAACCAGUCUCCAAAAUGAUAGGUUUAUGAAGAGUACACCAAUAUAGGGACCGGCAAGGCAGACAUGCAAUUCCACUUCUACAACACUGGUGGAAAGUACAAAAAAAAAUCCCACGACGAUAUGAUGCCCUCUCCACAUGAGUCUGUGGCACUUCCCUUUGUGGUUGGCCAUCACAUCAUCAUUUGGUCGACAAGACAAAAAUACGACCAAUAUUUUUUUACAAAAGGUGCAAAGGCCGAGACAGAAUCCUUCCUUAGCAAAAAUUAAAUCAUCUCUUAAAUUCCAAGGUCUCCAGAAAAUGAACAUGAUUUGCUCACGUUGCGGCGAACUAAACUGAUCUAGUAGAACAAGCAACCAGUCCCGUACCGUAUCCUCGAAGAUCUCUUCCCUAGGGAUAUUCCAAGUCUUCUCUCAUAGCCAUACCUAGGGCCCUAGCCUUAGGGCAAUUGACUAGAGCAGGAAAGGUGCUCUCAUCUUCCACACCACAAAUAGAACACAUACAUAGAAGAGCUUGAUGGUGCGUAACUCCGUUAACUUGGACCGCCAAGUUGUUAGUCAUGGCUCGCCUGGCCAAUAUUUUGAUCAUCUAGGGAACAUUGACCUUCCAAAUAGUAUUCCAAAGCCUCCUUUCCCCAUUCUCGACAUCACUAGAUUGCCCUAAAUCUUCGUUGCAUCCUUCAAGUUCAGCACUUCUCAACGUGCUAGGCAAUAAAACCGCCAUCCCCCGACGAUUGAUUACACAUCUUUAGGAUCUCCUCCACAUCAUGCGGAUAAAACAGGAGCCGGAUCAAAUUCUCAUUCAUUCUCCUUGCAGAAAACUUUAGGCAAGAAAUCCUGGAAAGCCGCUUAUCUCUUCAAAUACUACCCUCCAAAUCAAGCUCUCAAGAAAAUAAAUCGAGCGAAAGCUUCGUGCUUCGGUGCCGGUGGAGGCGACAUCCGUGGUUGCCGCUUUCCUCUUGAGGAAGUCGCCGUGGGUCUCUUCCCAAGGCCAGGGCACCGGGUGAAAACCUUGGUCAAUGGACUCGAGCAUGACCCUUUUGGAGGCGUUGUUGUGGAGCUCAGAUGCCGGCGGUCAGACCCUACGGUCGGAUUCAGGCCAAUGUGUGCUCUCGUCGGACAACGUCUUCGUGUCGUUUUUUUGGGGUUCAAUUUCGCUUGUCCUGUUUUAUUUUGAUCCACUUUGUUUGAGGGUCACCUUACUACCUUGUAUCAUUUGACCGUGUACCAUGUUCGUUGUUUUAUAAAUAAAACGGGACGAAAGGCUAUUUGAAAGAGUAACCACGCAAAAUAGUUAGUGUCGUUUCAAAUUUACGUUGGAGUAAAGGUGGCUGGACAAGCAUACAAUUGUUGUGUACAAGAAGAGCUAGCCAUGCAUGCAGCUGCUGUGUACGAAGAAGAAGAAGAACAGCAUGAAGAGGAGGAGAAAAUACAUCUGAGUACAAGAAAAACCCAACCUCACGUACUCAUGUGCUAGCACACGACACACAUGAACAAUAUUUGCAAAUUUACAAAUGUGCACUUCUCCGUACUACAUGCAUCUCGAUACAACAAGCUGCUUUGUGGUUAUAGUCUAAGCUCGUACACGGAUAGUGUCGGGGGAUGAACCCCAGGCAGGCAACGGAACCCGGAUUCUUUUUUAAAAACAACGGGCCAGCAUUGCCCCUCGAUCCGGUUCGCGCUUGGCCGGGUCGCUCAACCCGGCCAAGCUCUCCAACCCGGCCGGACUCCUCGACUCGGCCCCAAAAACCAAGCUCCAGACUUCCCCAACAAGCCAGCACCGCCCUUGGCGUGUUCUCCAAACCCGGCCAAGGGUCAGCGGCCGUCCCAUCCCAGCCGUAUGAUGGGACGAGUCUCCACCAACUGAUGACCGAAGCCACAGUGCCCCGCCCAUGCCUCUGGUCAGCCGAACGAGGCAACAGUGCCCCCCACCUACCCGCUGACCAGGAUUGGCGUGGCAACAGUGCGCCCGGCAUCACCCAUGACGCCAGCAAGCGGCGACCUGACGGAGCGCCACUGUAGCCGACUCGACUCGGCCACGCCCUGACAACCGACAAGACGACACACUGUGCCCCUAGGCGCAUGGGGCCUGCGCUCGGGGAACCCGGCGAGCCCUGGUACCCGGCGGGCCCCAGCACCGGGUUCCUGGACGCUGACAACCCGGCCCUACGGCCUUGUAACAUUACCUUUGUACCCCUGGGGGGUUGACCUAUAAAACCCCCCAGGAGCCCUCAUGCAUACGGGCAAGAAAGCGAUACCACACACCCAUCCACCCACUCACACGUCUAGCAAGCAACACCCGAGGAGAGGAAGCAGCCUAAGCCUUGGCCCGACCUCCUUCUUCCUCCAUACAGCUCUAGGAGCAACUCUGUACUGUUGCAUAUAAAGGCAGGACUAGGGGUGUUAUCUUUCCGGAGAGCCCCGAACCUGGAUAUGUCUUGCGUCCCGCGCUCGCUCAUGCCGACCUCGCCUCUCGAGCCACCAGUGCCCUUGAGCCUCCUCCUAUAUUUAGCCAUCCCUUGGCAUCUGCCGUGCGCCCACCACGACAGUUGGCGCCCACCAUGGGGCAGCUCGAGGUCCUGGCCGGGAGCACGCUUCAGACGGGGAUCUUCUCCGACUCCAACGAGCCCGUCACGCUGACGGACGACGUCAUCGACGCGCUCGCCGCCUCCUUCGCCACGCGCAUCUCCGACGCGCCUACGGACGACGAGUACCCCGCGAGGUACUUAGCUUUUCCGACUCUCCGCUCUCCGUCAACGACAACGCUCCCGCCGGAGCGAUGGACCUCUGCGUGGAGGUUUUCGUCACCUACACCAGCGCCUUCUCCUCGUCAAGCGCGGCAAGGAAGGCCGCCGAAGCUAAGGCCGAGGCGGAUAGGGCCGGCUCGCCCAACCCGCUGCGCGCCACGAUGCAGAGCCUCCGCGUUUCCAUCGGCACCAACAUCGACGCCUCCAACAUCGCCGAGGCCCGGACUCGUCUCAACGAGGAUCGCCAGCGCCUGCUGGACCUCACCGAGACACUCGCCGCCACGCAGCGUCGCCUCGACUAGGCCCAGCUGGAGCGCGACGCCGCCUACGGCUUCACGCCUACCGCCCCCGAGCCAAGCCGGGUCGCCGAUGUGCGAGCCCGGGGUGGCGUGAUCGGGCGCGCCUUCGACGCCCCCCCUCCCGUCUACGAGACUCCCGUGAAGAACAUGCGUGCUGCCCAGGCGGCCGCGGUCGGCCUGGAUCAGCUCGCGGGCGAGGAGCUGCAGGAUCGCCUCAAGAGGGUGAACGACCUCCUCGUCACGGCCAACGCGCAAAAGGACUGCCUCAACCAGCUCGCCAAGCCGGCCGGAUCCGGCUCCAUCCGAUUCGCUGGACCCGGCGACAACCAGCACACGGCGUCUUCUCCACCCGGCGAAGCGCACUCCGGCCGCACUCGGACCCGGCGCAACCCCUCCCCGACGGCUGCUGGCGGCUUGGCGGACGAGCCGGCCUCAGAGGCCCGGCGCCGCCUCGACCCCCUGCUCCAACCCGACCGACGUCCGACUGCGAUCGACCCGGCCCCCGCGGCGCGGUCACCGACCGGCUGGGCCCGCGCGCCAUCGACGACACUGACGCCCGUCACCGCCUCGACCGACUCGCUCUCUCCCAGGAGCUGGAGGAAACCGGCCCGGUCGGGCUGGCUUGCUUCGGGCCACGCAUCCGAGGCGAGCCCUUCACCAAAGGGUUCACGCUCCCCCGCGACACCCCCAAGUACAACGGCACCGUGAAGCCGGAGGACUGGCUCACCGACUACACAACCGCCAUCGGCAUCGCCGGCGGUAACCACCGCCUCGCCAUACGCUACGCACCCCUCAUGCUCCAGGGGUCGGCCCGCACCUGGUUGAACAGUCUGUCGGCUGGCAGCAUCAACACAUGGGUCGACUUCGAGCAAGCCUUCGUGCGCAACUUCACCGGCAGCUACAAGCGACCCGGCCGUGCCAGUCAGCUCACCAUGGGCGUGCAGGGGCCGGCGAAAACCGGCCGCGAGUACCUCACACGCUGGACCGAGCUCCGGAACAGCUGCGAGGUCGUCCACGAAGUCCAAGCGAUCCAGUACUUUGUCAACGGGUGCCGAGACGGCACCCUCCUCAAGCACAAACUCUUGCGCUUCGAGCCGGCCACCAUGGCCGCGCUCAUGGUAACGGCGGACAAGUACGCCAACGCCGACUCCGCCAUGAAGAUCCAGGUGGCACUGGAUGAAGCCGGCAAGUCAAAGCCGGUGCCGCCUCCGAAGCCGGCCGGCGAGGGAAGCCGACAGCAGCACAACCAGCAGAACAACAAGCGCAAAGCCGAUCAACCGGCUCAGCGCUACGACAACCGGCUCGUCGCGGCCGCCGAGCAGGCGCCCGCGGCCGACCCGGCCACCAAACGCCGGAACACCGGUAUGACGACAUGGCAGCCCGCCAUGAGCUUCGAGGAGAUGCUUGACGCUCCCUGCAAGCACCCCAGCGGCGCGAGGCCGUCCACGCACAUGCUCCGACAGUGCGCCGUCACCAAGUGCAUCGCGAGGGGCGACAUCCCGCCUCCUCCGGCUCCGGCUCCGGGAGCAGGGCAGCCGCCUCCGCCUCCGCCACCGCCACCGGCUGGCGGCGCGAUGCGCGACGACCCCUACCCGGCCCAAAACGCGACUUACGUCGUCUUCACCAGCCUCGGCAAUGACAAGCGCAGCGAACGCCUCCAUCGGCAGGAGGUGAACACCGUCAUCCCGGCCAAGACGGAAUACAUGCAUUGGUCGGAACGCCCGGUCACCUGGACCCGGGAGGACCACCCGGCCGUCAUGCCGAACCCGGGUGGUUACGCCCUCAUCCUCGACCCUACUAUUGUCGCGCCCCGGCACACGUGCAAGUUCUCCCAAGUUCUCGUCGACAGCGGCAGCAACAUCAACAUCCUCUACCGCGACACCAUGACCAAGCUCGGCCUCUAGGCCAAGGACUUGGAGCCGACCCAGACAAUCUUCCACGGCAUCGUUCCCGGCCUCUCCUGCUCCCCGAUAGGCCGGAUCCGGCUCGACGUCCUGUUCGGCGACAUCAGCCACUUCCAACGCGAGCCAAUCUGGUUCGAGGUGGUGGACCUGUCCAGCGCGUACCACGCGCUGCUGGGCCGGCCCGCGCUCGCCAAGUUCAUGGCGGUCCCCCACUACGCCUACCUGAAGAUGAAGCUGCUGGGUCCAAAGGGCCUCAUCACCGUCACUGGCGACUACCGCAAGUCCCUGGACUGCGCCCGAGACGGCGCCAAGCUAGCCGAGUCGCUGUCAUAGCCAAGGAGCGGCGCCAACUCGACCGGAUCGUCGCCCUGGCCCAAGAAGCGUUAGUCGCGUAGAUCCCGACUGAGGAGCCGGCCGAUGAGGCCGCGUUCAAGCCCUCCAAGGAGACCAAGAAGGUGAAGCUAAACCCGGAAGACCCCAGCUGCAGCAAGUACGUUGUCGUGGGCACCCGCCUCGACAGCAAAUAGGAAGGCGAGCUCGUCGACUUCCUCCGUGAGAAUCGCACUACAAAAAAAAGAAACUGCCGUGAUGAUACGUGUUUGUCACAGUAGGUCACGUUUUCUGUCAUGCAUGUACAUCCAUGACAAAUUUAUGACAGAAUCAAGAUAGUCAUACCUGUGCUGUCGUAGAAGUGUUCCAUGACAUUACCAAAAUUAUCAUCACGGAAGUGUCCACUUCCAUGACGAUAAAUUGCGCGUCACAGAAGUGCUUUCAUCAAGGGUGACCGACACGUGGCAUCCACCGUAACGGAACGCCGUUAAGCUAUCGGGUCAGGUUUUGGAUCCGAUAACCCGUUAACAGCCAGGAGCAAUGGGGAUUUUCCACGUGUAAAAUUCUGAUUGGCUGACGGAAACACGUGUCAGCUCCGCGUUGGCACAGGUGUCACUCAUCCAAUGGGCGAGAUGCGCCUAUGAUAUGCUGACACGUGGACCGGCCCAAAAGUGGCCCAUAAAGUUUAAAUGGGCCAACCCAACUAAAGGCCCACAAGAUUUUGCGGUCCAUAAUGGGCCAGCCCAGCAAAAGGCCCAUGAGAUUUUUCGUAUCAUAAUGGGCCGGCCCAGCUAAAGGCCCACGAGAUUUUGCGGGCCAUAAUGGGCCGGCCCAGCUAAAUGCCUGCGAGAUUUUGUGGACCAUAAUGGGUCGGCCCAGAUAAAGGCCCAACAUUCUCAGUUAAGGCCCGUAUGGCUAGUGUCAAAUCGGCCCAUCAACGGCCUGUCCUAAACUUGUCAUCAUCGUGGCCCACGAUCAUUUCUGGCCCGUUAACAGUUCGCUAAGUAUAUGGGCCGAAUUACGGCCCGGUGUAUUUCCGGCCUGUUAAAGGUCCUACUUCAUUUGGGCCCAUUUACAGGCCAUUGAAACUUUCGGCCCAUAAACGACCGUGAAGGAUUUGGGUCAUAUUCGGCCAUGUCUGACAUUCGGCCUAUUAGCGGCCCGCCAUAGAUUUGGGCCACUUUCGGCCUGUUGUGAUUUUUGGCCUGUUAACGCCGGACGAAAUCGAUGGGCCAUAUGUGGCCCAACGUCACAUCGGGCCCAUUAACGACCCAUAUAAAAAUGACAAUAAUCUAGCUCGACUGAACUUUCGGCAUGUUAAAGGCCCGUGUAUUAGGUCGGCGCAUUUACGACCCGUCCGAAUUUCGGCCUGUGAAAGAUCCGCAUCGUAAAUGGGCCCAAUCUCACUUUCGGUCUUUUAAAGGCCCAUGUUUUGUAUGGGCUCGAGAUAUUUACAUCUGUAAACGGCCUAUUGUUACUGAGGGCCCAAAUUAUGUUUAGGCCUGUUAAAGGCCCACUAUGGGCAGAGGCCUACCAGAAAAAUAUGAAAUCUUAUGCUGAUUUAGGCCCAGAUAUUUUUAGUGGGCUACAUGCAAAUUUCGGCCCAUAAUCAGUUUUAGCCCAAUUGGAAUGGGCCCGACGAAUGUUGGCAUGUUGGGCUCCUACGAAGCUUUUGGCCGAAUACAUUACUAAGAUAAACCUACACUAUACAAAAAUAGCGUCGUAAUUAUUGCAGCCUUUGGCAGCAGCAUAAAUGCUGUAUCACAACGAAAGGCCUGUUGGCAUAAAGUUUACAGUCCUUGUAGAUAAAAGCACCAUGAGAUGUAUAGAAGCACAAAUCAUUUGACCUGAGUGCUAAUGUUUCAGGCUGUAGAAUCUGAUGGUGCAGCACAAUCUUCACCUUUUUUCCGCCAUUGCUCUUGAACAACGAAGCGAAUGUCUGAUAGUCUGGUUUCAAAACCAUUCAUAUCUUGACGACAUUUGUCAACCACUAUUCUUGUUUCCAAAACGACGUCCAUUAGGGAUUGGACUUGUGUCUGG
rnacentral:lncRNA from 1 species